AGCCAUAUUUCCUCUCAUGGCAUCCCCUCAUAUUACCUGCGCCCUUUCCACGUUUAAUCUCGCGAGUUUAACACACGCGCUCACGUGACCCGCUGUAGCCUAUCGAUCCACCGUCCCAAGAUGGCUGCUCGGUGCGGUGGCUAAGCCUGGGGACAUCUGAAGACGGUGCCGACCAUCAGGGCCGAGUUGUGACGAGAGAGUGUGUCGAUGUUAAGAUAUUAAGCCGAGUUGGCCAGGUCCCUAAGUCUUGGAUGGCGAGCUGUAGAUAGGCCGUGAGCCCGUGCCCAAGGAUCUCCACCUCUCAACCCCUGAACUCCACCUGCUCUGGUCGGGCCGGUAGGCGGCUUAUAGCCGAACCCCUUGCCUCGCACCAUACUCUGCGGCCCUAUACUACACACCCUGCCCAUAAACUGAACUCUCACUACAAACUGCCAUAUCCACAACCCCAACCCGUGUGGCCUUAUGAACUGUGAAUGCGCAUAUGGACUGCGAUCAGUCUCAUAUGACUCCUAUGAACUUUAAGAACUUUAAUUUGAUACUAUACCUUGUAUGAAUUACCUGAACUCUUAAUCAAUGAACUAAACCAACAUUGUUUGUUGAGAUUCCUUUGUUUUUUUUCUUUUGUUUUGAAUGGCCAUUCCUAUCAAUGUCUGUCCACUAUUUGUUGCACUGUACAUAUUUAAAUAAC